UCAAGUAAUUAAGUGCAUGUGGUGGAUGCCUUGGCAGUCAGAGGCGAUGAAAGACGUGAUAGCCUGCGAAAAGCUCCGGGGAGGCGGCAAAUAUCCUUUGAUCCGGAGAUGUCUGAAUGGGGGAACCCACCUACUUUAAGGUAGGUAUUGCAACAUGAAUACAUAGUGUUGCAAGGCGAACGAGGGGAAGUGAAACAUCUCAGUACCCUUAGGAAAAGAAAUCAAUUGAGAUUCCCUCAGUAGCGGCGAGCGAACGGGGAUCAGCCCAUUAAGUUAUGUGUGUUUUAGUGGAACGCUCUGGGAAGUGCGAACGUAGAGGGUGAUAUUCCCGUACACGAAAGGGCACACAUAAUGAUGACGAGUAGGGCGAGGCACGUGAAACCUUGUCUGAAUAUGGGGACCAUCCUCCAAGGCUAAAUACUCCUGACUGACCGAUAGUGAACCAGUACCGUGAGGGAAAGGCGAAAAGAACCCCUGUGAGGGGAGUGAAAUAGAUCCUGAAACCGCAUGCAUACAAGCAGUGGGAGCACCUUCGUGGUGUGACUGCGUACCUUUUGUAUAAUGGGUCAGCGACUUAUAUUCAGUAGCGAGGUUAACCGUAUAGGGGAGCCGUAGAGAAAUCGAGUCUUAAUAGGGCGUUUAGUUGCUGGGUAUAGACCCGAAACCAGGCGAUCUAUCCAUGAGCAGGUUGAAGGUUGGGUAACACUAACUGGAGGACCGAACCCACUGUCGUUGAAAAGCCAGGGGAUGACUUGUGGAUAGGGGUGAAAGGCUAAUCAAGCCUGGUGAUAGCUGGUUCUCCCCGAAAGCUAUUUAGGUAGCGCCUCGGACGAAUACCAUAGGGGGUAGAGCACUGUUUCGGCUAGGGGGUCAUCCCGACUUACCAAACCGAUGCAAACUCCGAAUACCUAUGAGUACUAUCCGGGAGACAGACUGCGGGUGCUAACGUCCGUAGUCAAGAGGAAAACAAUCCAGACCGCCAGCUAAGGCCCCAAAAUCAUAGUUAAGUGGGAAACGAUGUGGGAAGGCAUAGACAGCUAGGAGGUUGGCUUAGAAGCAGCCACCCUUUAAAGAAAGCGUAAUAGCUCACUAGUCGAGUCGGCCUGCGCGGAAGAUGUAACGGGGCUAAAACUAUGUGCCGAAGCUGCGGAUGUAUACUUUGUAUACGUGGUAGGGGAGCGUUCUGUAAGCCGAUGAAGGUGUGUUGAGAAGCAUGCUGGAGGUAUCAGAAGUGCGAAUGCUGACGUGAGUAACGACAAAACGGGUGAAAAACCCGUUCGCCGAAAGACCAAGGGUUCCAGUCCAACGUUAAUCGGGGCUGGGUGAGUCGACCUAAGGCGAGGCCGAAAGGCGUAGUCGAUGGGAAAAUGGUUAAUAUUCCAUUACUUCUGUGUAAUGCGAUGAGAGGACGGAGAAGGCUAAAUCAGCCUGGCGUUGGUUGUCCAGGUGAAAGGAUGUAGGCAUGUAUCUUAGGCAAAUCCGGGGUACUCUAUGCUGAGAUCUGAUAGCAAGCUGUACUUGUACAGCGAAGUGGUUGAUGCCAUGCUUCCAGGAAAAGUCUCUAAGCUUCAGUUACACAGGAAUCGUACCCGAAACCGACACAGGUGGUCAGGUCGAGUAGACCAAGGCGCUUGAGAGAACUCUGCUGAAGGAACUAGGCAAAAUGGUACCGUAACUUCGGGAGAAGGUACGCUGUUGUUGGUGAUGGAACUCGCUUCCUGAGCUGACGACAGCCGCAGAAACCAGGCCGCUGCAACUGUUUAUUAAAAACAUAGCACUCUGCAAACACGAAAGUGGACGUAUAGGGUGUGAUGCCUGCCCGGUGCUGGAAGGUUAAUUGAUGGGGUUAGCGUAAGCGAAGCUCUUGAUCGAAGCCCCAGUAAACGGCGGCCGUAACUAUAACGGUCCUAAGGUAGCGAAAUUCCUUGUCGGGUAAGUUCCGACCUGCACGAAUGGCAUAAUGAUGGCGGCGCUGUCUCCAGCAGAGGCUCAGUGAAAUCGAAAUCGCUGUGAAGAUGCAGUGUACCCGCGGCUAGACGGAAAGACCCCGUGAACCUUUACUGCAGCUUGACACUGAACUUUGACCUUACUUGUGUAGGAUAGGUGGGAGGCUUUGAAGCUGGAACGCUAGUUCCAGUGGAGCCGUCCUGAAAUACCACCCUGGUAAUGUUGAGGUUCUAACUCUGUCCCGUGAUCCGGGACGAGGACCGUGUCUGGUGGGUAGUUUGACUGGGGCGGUCUCCUCCUAAAGAGUAACGGAGGAGUACGAAGGUGCGCUCAGCGUGGUCGGAAAUCACGCGUAGAGUAUAAAGGCAAAAGCGCGCUUAACUGCGAGACCCACAAGUCGAGCAGGUACGAAAGUAGGUCUUAGUGAUCCGGUGGUUCUGUAUGGAAGGGCCAUCGCUCAACGGAUAAAAGGUACUCUGGGGAUAACAGGCUGAUACCGCCCAAGAGUUCAUAUCGACGGCGGUGUUUGGCACCUCGAUGUCGGCUCAUCUCAUCCUGGGGCUGAAGCAGGUCCCAAGGGUAUGGCUGUUCGCCAUUUAAAGAGGUACGCGAGCUGGGUUUAGAACGUCGUGAGACAGUUCGGUCCCUAUCUACCGUGGGCGCUGGAAAUUUGAGAGGAUCUGCUCCUAGUACGAGAGGACCAGAGUGGACGAACCUCUGGUGUACCGGUUGUGACGCCAGUCGCAUCGCCGGGUAGCUAUGUUCGGAAGGGAUAACCGCUGAAAGCAUCUAAGCGGGAAGCCUACCUCAAGAUAAGAUUUCCCUAGGACUUUAUGUCCUCUAAAGAGCCGUUCGAGACUAGGACGUUGAUAGGUUGGAUGUGGAAGCAUAGUGAUAUGUGAAGCUGACCAAUACUAAUUGCUCGUGAGGCUUGACUA
rnacentral:rRNA from 1 species